UGCUCUUUGGGCUCACUUUAAUGUCCCGUUGAUUGUUUUAUUCGCUUCGUCAUUCAACGCCAGUCUCGUCCAUAUCAAUGAAAACCCCUUCAAGCGGCCAAAGUAGGGUUUCUCUACAAUCGAUACAGAUGGUGACGAAACAAAGCAACCAAUAAGACUGAUGACCAAGGGGAUUUUUUCAAUCGUCAAA